AUUGAACGCUGGCGGCAUGCCUUACACAUGCAAGUCGAACGGCAGCGCGGGGCAACCUGGCGGCGAGUGGCGAACGGGUGAGUAAUAUAUCGGAACGUGCCCUGGAGUGGGGAUAACGUAGCGAAAGUUACGCUAAUACCGCAUACGAACUAAGGUUGAAAGCGGGGGAUCUUCGGACCUCGUGCUCAUGGAGUGGCCGAUAUCUGAUUAGCUAGUUGGUGAGGUAAAGGCUCACCAAGGCGACGAUCAGUAGCUGGUUUGAGAGAACGACCAGCCACACUGGAACUGAGACACGGUCCAGACUCCUACGGGAGGCAGCAGUGAGGAAUAUUGGUCAAUGGUCGCAAGACUGAACCAGCCAUGCCGCGUGCAGGAUGAAGGCCCUCUGGGUUGUAAACUGCUUUUCUCAGGGAAUAAACCCUUCUACGUGUAGAAGGCUGAAGGUACCUGAGGAAUAAGCACCGGCUAACUCCGUCGCCAGCAGCCGCGGUAA
rnacentral:rRNA from 1 species